UACGAAGGGGGCUAGCGUUGCUCGGAAUCACUGGGCGUAAAGGGCGCGUAGGCGGCGUUUUAAGUCGGGGGUGAAAGCCUGUGGCUCAACCACAGAAUGGCCUUCGAUACUGGGACGCUUGAGUAUGGUAGAGGUUGGUGGAACUGCGGGUGUAGAGGUGAAAUUCGUAGAUAUUCGCAAGAACACCGGUGGCGAAGGCGGCCAACUGGACCAUUACUGACGCUGAGGCGCGAAAGCGUGGGGAGCAAACAGG
rnacentral:rRNA from 1 species